AUUGAACGCUGGCGGCAGGCCUAACACAUGCAAGUCGAACGGUAGCACAGAGAGCUUGCUCUCGGGUGACGAGUGGCGGACGGGUGAGUAAUGUCUGGGAAACUGCCCGAUGGAGGGGGAUAACUACUGGAAACGGUAGCUAAUACCGCAUAACGUCGCAAGACCAAAGUGGGGGACCUUCGGGCCUCACACCAUCGGAUGUGCCCAGAUGGGAUUAGCUAGUAGGUGGGGUAAUGGCUCACCUAGGCGACGAUCCCUAGCUGGUCUGAGAGGAUGACCAGCCACACUGGAACGGAGACACGGUCCAGACUCCUACUGGAGGCAGCAGUGGGGAAUAUUGCACAAUGGGCGCAAGCCUGAUGCAGCCAUGCCGCGUGUAUGAAGAAGGCCUGCGGGUUGUAAAGUACUUUCAGCGGGGAGGAAGGCGGUGAAGUUAAUAACUUCACCGAUUGACGUUACCCGCAGAAGAAGCACCGGCUAACUCCGUGCCAGCCGCCGCCGUAA
rnacentral:rRNA from 1 species